GCCUAGAAUCAUUGUAGACUUGCUAAGCAAGCCAAGGCUUGUCACUAAUCAGUAAUUUCCGGUACCCAACGACGGCGUCUCUUUGUCGCUGCUCCGCCCACUGCCUUUAACCUCCCAAAAACCUCCGGAUUUCCAUGAGCCCGUCCGACGUCGUCGGAGACCGUUGCUCGCUUUCAACUCCCCCGUUUCAAACCUCUAAACCAAUUAAUCUUCCUAAAAAUUUUUCAUAGGUUUGAGUUCAAAUAGUUUAAAAUGGGCAGAUGGAAGCCGCUUGGUUCGUCAGCACAUUCAAUUUUGAAGAAUUUUUGGGUAGUUUUAAUCAAUAAUCAAUUAUUUUUGCUCAAUCAAAAUUACUUACUAUUUGAUUUAUCGCUUCAUAUCUUCUUCUGUUCUUUUUCAUUUCAUUUUUUGCCGCAGUUUCGGAGUUCAAAUUUUCUAGAAUGUUCAGCUGGAAAGAGGCCAUUGCAAGUGGCAUUUCCGGCCUUGGAUCACUGCCGAUAUUUGUGCAGUUGCAGGAUUUUAUUGUACCCUGCUGAUUUUGUUCCUAAGGGGCUAUUAUUGUCCAAGCGCUUCAUUCAUGCCACAGGACCUUCCAAUUCCACGGAAAGAGAUUACUAUGAAAUUCUUGGGGUCUCUAGAAAUGCCACCAAAGAGGAGAUUAAGAAGGCUUUUCAUGCUCUUGCGAAGAAGUACCAUCCAGAUGCGAAUAAGAAAAAUCCUUCUGCAAAGAGGAAAUUUCAAGAGAUAAGAGAUGCUUAUGAGAUUUUACAAGAUCCAGAAAAGAGAGCCCAAUAUGAUAGGAUCAGUGAAUAUGGCAGGACUGGAGAAGAUAUGAACUAUUCUUCUGGGGAUGCGGAUGGGUUUAGAUUUACCUAUGGAACUCAAUUUUCUGAUUCAUUUUAUGAUGUUUUUGCUGAGAUAUUCAAAGAUCAAGCAAAAUUUCAUACCAAGGAUAUCCAGGUGGAGCUUUCACUCUCUUUUUCUGAAGCUGCUAAAGGAUGCACCAAACAUUUAUCUUUUGAUGCAGAUGUCCCCUGUGAUGCUUGCAAUGGGCAUGGCUAUCCACCAAAUGCAAAGCGAAAAAUUUGCCAUAAUUGUCAAGGCAGUGGGAUGCAAACAUUUCUUCGCUUCACUGAAACGUGCAGUAUGUGUAAAGGAUCUGGUGUAAUAUUUAAGGAAUUUUGCAGGGCAUGCCAAGGAUCAGGUGCAGUUGAAGGAGUGAAGCAUGUUAAAGUGUCAAUUCCGGCAGGUGUGGACACUGGGGAUACAAUUCAUGUUGAAAAUGCUGGCAAUGCUGGCAGACAUGGACUCGAACCAGGCAGCCUGUUCAUAAAGCUUAAGGUCACUGAAGAUCCUCUUUUUGCCAGAGAUGGGGCUGAUAUAUAUGUAGAUAGUAAUAUAAGCUUUACACAAGCUAUCCUUGGUGGAAAUGUGGAAGUGCCAACUCUGUCUGGGAAGACGAAAGUGCAAAUUCCCAAGGGUGUUCAACCUGGGCAGCUUCUGAGACUAAGAGGCAAAGGGUUGCCAAAGAGUGGCUUUUUUGUAGAUCAUGGGGAUCAGUACGUACGGUUUCGCGUAAACUUUCCAGUAGUCUUAAAUGAACGACAACGUGCAAUACUAGAAGAGUUUGCCAAUGAGGAAAUUUCCAGUGAGCAUAACACGUCUGGUGAAGGAAGUUGGAACAGGGCUGUGCAAGAGAGUGCUAACGGGAUAAGUACUAUAUUAUGUUUCGUUUAAAACCAGUGGAGCUCUUGUAUGAGAUCAUAGAACUGCUUCUAUUAAGCCCUGCCGGGCAUGGAAAGGGGGUAUCAGGGGUAUGAUGGACUCAGAAAACUGUGCAAACUUGGCUGUUAAGGUGUCUUUUUGUGCAGUACCACUGCCCUCGACCUCUUUGUUGGUUCUUUGUUAAGUUGCUAUGAUGCAUCAAUCUUCGGCUUGCUGUUAUAUCUAGUGGCUUUACCAGCAGCUGUCUACUGGUUGAACUUACAGGUGGCAGCAAAUGCUCGGUCAUGUUUUGGCCCCCAAAUAUGUGCUUGAGUUCUCCGCGUUGGUGUUAAUCCUUCUGUUGGUGAAGAAGAUUUUGGGAUGAGAGUCAUCACAAAGUGAAGAUUGGAGUUGUGAAGGGAUGGAUACUUAGAUGAAGAGCUAAAAAUCAUUUUGUGAAAAAAUCGAAGUCUUGACUUUUUGUAUUCUUGACAAUGGAAUGCUAUGGCAUCCGUCGCAAUUUUGGUGCUGAUGAUCUAAAAAAAAAAAAAGGGAUAGAAAUUGUAUGAUCCCUUGACGAUGAAUGUUCACAUUAUUGCCCUCAAAGUAAAUUAUAUGAUCCCUUGACUUGACG